rnacentral:tRNA from 1 species
GGGGAGUUUCCUGAGUGGUCAAAGGGGACAGACUGUAAAUCUGCUGGCUCCGCCUUCGUAGGUUCGAAUCCUACACUCCCCACUA